rnacentral:tRNA from 1 species
GGGGGUAUGGCUCAGUGGUAGAGAACUUGCCUCCUGUGUAAGACCCUGGGUUCAAUUCCCUGCCCUG